GAUGAACGCUGGCGGCGUGCCUAAUACAUGCAAGUCGAGCGGUAACACUUCGGGUGACGAGCGGCGGACGGCUGAGUAACGCGUAGGAAUCUACCCCAAAAUGAGGGAUAAGCACCGGAAACGGUGUCUAAUACCGCAUGUUCUCUACGGAGUAAAGCUUCGGCGGAUCGGGAAGAGGCUGCGUAUGAUUCGCUUGUUGGUGUGGUAAUGGCUAACCAAGGCUUCGAGCAUUAGCUGGUCUGAGAGGAUGAUCAGCCAGACUGGGACUGAGACACGGCCCAGACUCCUACGGGAGGCAGCAGUGGGGAAUUUUGGACAAUGGGCGCAAGCCUGAUCCAGCCAUGCCGCGUGCGGGAAGAAGGCCUUCGGGUUGUAAACCGCUUUUGUCAGGGAAGAAAUCUUCUGGGUUAAUACCUCGGGAGGAUGACGGUACCUGAAGAAUAAGCACCGGCUAACUACGUGCCAGCAGCCGCAGUAA
rnacentral:rRNA from 1 species